GACGAACGCUGGCGGCGUGCUUAACACAUGCAAGUCGAACGGUGAAGGGACCGGUUUUUGCUGGUUCUGGAUGAGUGACGAACGGGUGAGUAACACGUGAGUAACCUGCCCCCUUCUUCUGGAUAACCGCAUGAAAGUGUGGCUAAUACGGGAUAUUCUGCGCCUGCUGCAUGGUGGGUGUGGGAAAGAUAUUGUUUCGGUGGGGGAUGGGCUCGCGGCCUAUCAGCUUGUUGGUGGGGUGAUGGCCUACCAAGGCGGUGACGGGUAGCCGGCCUGAGAGGGUGGACGGUCACACUGGGACUGAGACACGGCCCAGACUCCUACGGGAGGCAGCAGUGGGGAAUAGUGCACAAUGGGCGCAAGCCUGAUGCAGCGACGCCGCGUGAGGGAUGGAGGCCUUCGGGUUGUAAACCUCUUUCGCCAGUGAAGCAGGCCUGUCCCUUGUGUGGGUGGGUUGACGGUAGCUGGAUAAGAAGCGCCGGCUAACUACGUG
rnacentral:rRNA from 1 species